rnacentral:rRNA from 1 species
UACAGAGGUCCCAAGCGUUGUUCGGAUUCACUGGGCGUAAAGGGUGCGUAGGUGGCCGGGUAAGUCUGACGUGAAAUCUCCGAGCCUAACUCGGAAACUGCGUCGGAUACUAUCCGGCUUGAGGGUUGGAGGGGGGACUGGAAUACUUGGUGUAGCAGUGAAAUGCGUAGAUAUCAAGUGGAACACCAGUGGCGAAGGCGAGUCCCUGGACAACUCCUGACACUGAGGCACGAAAGCGUGGGGAGCAAACAGG